rnacentral:rRNA from 1 species
CCUACGGGCGGCAGCAGUGAGGAAUCUUGGUCAAUGGACGCAAGUCUGAACCCGCCAUGCCGCGUGCAGGAAGACGGCUCUAUGAGUUGUAAACUGCUUUUGUACGAGGGUAAACGCAGAUACGUGUAUCUGUCUGAAAGUAUCGUACGAAUAAGGAUCGGCUAACUCCGUGCCAGCAGCCGCGGUAAUACGGAGGAUUCAAGCGUUAUCCGGAGUUCUUGGGUUUAAAGGGUGCGUAGGCGGUCGGAUAAGUUAGUGGUGAAAUCCCGAGGCGCAACUUCGGAAUUGCCUCUGAUACUUUUCGGCUAGAGAGUAGUUGCGGUAGGCGGAAUGUAUGUGGUAGCGGUGAAAUGCUUAGAGAUCAUACAGAACACCGAUUGCGAAGUCAGCUUACCAAGCUACUUCGGACGUUGAGGCACGAAAGCGUGGGGAGCAAACAGGAUUAGAUACCCGAGUAGUC